AGCCCAGUGCCGGAAGACUACCGCUCCCGGCAUGCCGCGCAAAACAGCACGGCCUCCCGGAAGCCCAGUGCCGGAAGACUACCGCUCCCGGCAUGGCGCGCGAAACAACAUGGCAUCCCGGAAGCCCAGUGCCGGAAGACUACCACUCCCGGCAUGCAGCGCAAAACAACAUGGCCUCCCGGAAGCCCGGUGCCGGAAGACUACCGCUCCCGGCAUGCCGCGUAAAACAACACGGCCUCUCCGGAAGCCCAGUGCCGGAAGAGUACCGCUCCCCGUAUGCCAGCGCCCUUCCCGCCCACCUGCAGCGCUCAGUGAAGUUUCACCCUGUUAAGGUUCCUUUCCGUCCCGGUUCCUUUUUCCCCCUGUCCCCCCCGGAAACCGCCGCAGAGCCCGGAGCGCGACCUCGUGAUCCCCAGCACGGGCCCGGGGCUCUCCCGACGCUGCCGCGACCGGCCCCAGAAACAAUAGCUGGAAGCAAGUCUGCCAUGGAGCUCAGUGUCAGCAUGCUUCCCCUUACCUGUGAUGCCUGAAGAGUCAUCACCACACCAGCGUCCAUCCAUCCAUCAGGGAAGGGUCAGCUCCUGCUGCUGCCCUUGAUGUGGCAGGUGUCCGAGUAGCCAAUAGCCUACUCCUCUGCUUUUUUCUGCAGGGAUAGGAUUCAGCUCCGAGAGCUGAGAGGAAAAGCCUGAUCUUGCCUGUCUGCACUUCUGCCCUACCCCAGGCUAGAGCCCUGCAAGACACUUCCACAGCUCUCAGCUCGCCUGUCACAUUGCCAGUCUCUGUGUGAUGGGCCUGUGCCAUAUCAAAUCCAGARCUCAGGUCAGUGYRCAGAGCUGAACGCUGGGUACAGGGGAAGGUUACAAAGCCCAAAGAAGGGUUUGCAGCCUGCUGCUUAGGCUUCAGGGCUUACAGUUUAUUAUCUAAGGAUUCAGCCCUUUUCCUUUAUCAGUAAGUCAUAAGCCCUGAACCCUAAACUCAACGCAUCCUUCGUCUGGAAGCGAUGGCGGGGAGGGGGGCAGGGUUGUCGACAGCCCAUUGUAGCCCCUCAGGAAGCACUAAAUCAACGACACGGGUUGAGCUGUAGACRUAGGGAAGACACCAGUUUGCAUAAAGGCAGACCUGACAGAAAAGUGGGCUCGAUGCCAGCGUCACGAUCACGAGUCAAGCUGCACCAUGCGGCAGCCCUGGCUGCGCGCAGGCAGACAAGAGGCAGUAACUGCAGACCGUGCUGACAAGUAGGACAGACAGCAGCAGCAGCUCCAGACUGCCCUACUGCGAGCGCCUGUCCUAACGCCCGAGGACUCGGAGCCUCUGCUGCUCUCUGCCUCUGCGACACCUUUCUCAGGAGCCUCUUCGCUGUCGACUACACACCCCACGGCAUCUCUAGCUCACUAGUGCUCCCCCGCUGCACACCCACAGCCCUGUGUGUGGAGAACAGACAAGGCACUGUUUACUCCAAAGGCCUGCUGAAGAGGGGAAGGUAUCACUGUUCACAGAUGGGGAGUGGGACCGUGCGUAGGCCGGGUAGUCUCUCCCUUCCUGUGGACACACACCCCAGCUUGUGCAGGAUAUGAUAACAAUGCCUUUGUCACCACCUCCGCUAUUAUCUGCUACCAACCACUUGCGGCCUAAACUAAUGUCGAGAGCCUGACCCACACCAAAGCUGCCUCAUAAAUCAAGUGAAAAGGGAAAUUAAUAUCUACAGCUACAUGCUGAUCAGGCAUGAGAACCCAUGAUGGGGGGCCUCCACUAUUUAGUUCUCUAAUUCUGAAGGGUGGAAAUCUUUGUCACAAGUUUUCAUCAAUUUCUUUUCCCUUCCCUUUUGAAAACCCAGUCAGCAGGUUGAGCCCAGAGGAGUGUGUCAGAGUGACAUAGGUUCUGGCUACUGAUAAGGAUGCCAAGAAACCUAAUCACAAUAGACAUGCGGCUUAGAAGCCUAUAAAAUGUGAUAAUAACAACAGCUCUUUGGAGCUCUCUCUCAGCUUGUCUGGGACCCACACCCCCCCCUUAUUGCAUCCUGCACACUUGAGACCCUCGCCCGAUGUGGAACAGGUCAUAUUACCCCUGCUUGCUCUGUAUAUAGUGUAGUGUGUUAUUUUUACCCUGUUAAAUACGGAACUUGCUAUAUUGUUUAAACUCUCUUGCUUAAGGAUACUGGUGUACUUAAUAAAUAUCUGAAACCUGAUAACCGCCUGGCUGUU
ensembl:lncRNA